AGUGAACGCUGGCGGUAGGCCUAACACAUGCAAGUCGAACGGCAGCACAGUAAGAGCUUGCUCUUACGGGUGGCGAGUGGCGGACGGGUGAGGAAUACAUCGGAAUCUACUUUUUCGUGGGGGAUAACGUAGGGAAACUUACGCUAAUACCGCAUACGACCUACGGGUGAAAGCAGGGGAUCUUCGGACCUUGCGCGAUUGAAUGAGCCGAUGUCGGAUUAGCUAGUUGGCGGGGUAAAGGCCCACCAAGGCGACGAUCCGUAGCUGGUCUGAGAGGAUGAUCAGCCACACUGGAACUGAGACACGGUCCAGACUCCUACGGGAGGCAGCAGUGGGGAAUAUUGGACGAUGGGCGCAAGCCUGAUCCAGCCAUACCGCGUGGGUGAAGAAGGCCUUCGGGUUGUAAAGCCCCUUUGUUGGGAAAGAAAAGCAGCAGGUUAAUACCCCGCUGUUCUGACGGUACCCAAAGAAUAAGCACCGGCUAACUUCGUG
rnacentral:rRNA from 1 species